rnacentral:rRNA from 1 species
GGACGAACGCUGGCGGCGUGCCUAACACAUGCAAGUCGAGCGAGGAGAUCCUUCGGGAUGAUCCUAGCGGCGGACGGGUGAGUAACACGUGGGCAACCUGCCUCAUAGAGAGGAAUAGCCUUCCGAAAGGGAGAUUAAUACCUCAUAACAUUGCAGUUUCGCAUGGAACAGCAAUUAAAGGAGUAAUCCGCUAUGAGAUGGGCCCGCGGCGCAUUAGCUAGUUGGUGAGGUAACGGCUCACCAAGGCGACGAUGCGUAGCCGACCUGAGAGGGUAAUCGGCCACAUUGGGACUGAGACACGGCCCAGACUCCUACGGGAGGCAGCAGUGGGGAAUAUUGCACAAUGGGGGAAACCCUGAUGCCAGCAACGCCGCGUGAGUGAUGACGGCCUUCGGGUUGUAAAGCUCUGUCUUCAGGGACGAUAAUGACGGUACCUGAGGAGGAAGCCACGGCUAACUACGUGCCAGCCGCCGC